GACGAACGCUGGCGGCGUGCUUAACACAUGCAAGUCGAACGGAAAGGCCCUGCUUUUGUGGGUUGCUCGAGUGGCGAACGGGUGAGUAACACGCGAGUAACCUGCCCUUGUCUUUGGGAUAACUUCAGGAAACUGGGGCUAAUACCGGAUAGGAGCUCCUGCUGCAUGGUGGGGGUUGGAAAGUUUCGGCGGUUGGGGAUGGACUCGCGGCUUAUCAGCUUGUUGGUGGAGUAGUGGCUUACCAAGGCUUUGACGGGUAGCCGGCCUGAGAGGGUGACCGGCGACAAUGGGACUGAGAUACGCCCCAGACUCCUACGGGAGGCAGCAGUGGGGAAUAUUGCACAAUGGGCGGAAGCCUGAUGCAGCAACGCCGCGUGCGGGAUGACGGCCUUCGGGUUGUAAACCGCUGUGGCAUGUGACGAAGCGUGAGUGACGGUAAUGGGUAAGGAAGCAACGGCUAACUACGUG
rnacentral:rRNA from 1 species